rnacentral:rRNA from 1 species
GGAAAAAUUUAUUGCUAUUAGAUGAGCCUAUAUUAGAUUAGCUAGUUGGUGGAGUAAUAGCCUACCAAGGCAAUGAUCUAUAGCUGAUCUGAGAGGAUGAUCAGCCACACUGGAACUGAGAUACGGUCCAGACUCCUACGGGAGGCAGCAGUGGGGAAUAUUGGACAAUGGGCGAAAGCCUGAUCCAGCCAUGCCGCAUGAGUGAAGAAGGCCUUUGGGUUGUAAAGCUCUUUUAGUGAGGAAGAUAAUGACGGUACUCACAGAAGAAGUCCUGGCUAACUCCGUGCCAGCAGCCGCGGUAAUACGGAGAGGGCUAGCGUUAUUCGGAAUUACUGGGCGUAAAGGGCGCGUAGGCUGAUUAAUAAGUUAAAAGUGAAAUCCCGAGGCUUAACCUUGGAAUUGCUUUUAAAACUAUUAAUCUAGAGAUUGAAAGAGGAUAGAGGAAUUCCUGAUGUAGAGGUAAAAUUCGUAAAUAUUAGGAGGAACACCAGUGGCGAAGGCGUCUAUCUGGUUCAAAUCUGACGCUGAAGCGCGAAGGCGUGGGGAGCAAACAGGAUUAGAUACCCUGGUAGUCCACGCUGUAAACGAUGAAUGUUAAAUAUGGGAAGUUUAC